rnacentral:tRNA from 3 species
GCGUCCAUAGCUCAGCUGGAUAGAGCAACGCCCUUCUAAGGCGUAGGCCAGAGGUUCGAAUCCUCUUGGGCGUACCA